CGUAUCCCGAGCUCUCCCCGGAGCGCGUGGUCCUGGUCGCGAGCACAUGGAAGUGGGGUCGAGAUCUGCGUCUCUGAGACGCUCGAGUGAUAAUAAGAGACACAAAAAGGAUAUAAAAACAGAGGAGACGCAGCAAGAAAGCAUCGCGAGCAGCGCGACAUAAACACCAGGAACCUCACUGGAAACCUGCUACAAAGCCUCAGUCAUGAUCCCUGUCCCCAAAAAGACAAGAAUCCACACGCCUCAAUGACUGCAGACUGCAGCUGACUGGGGCCUGACUCCAUCUGCAGGUGGACCAGGGACUUCCUCACCCACAGACAGCAGUACGUGAGGCUGGGAGGAGAUGACGGUUGACUUCAGUAAGGACCCCCCCCCGUUCCACCAUCAUCAGCCCGGACGUCAAGUGGGAGCAGAACAGAUGUUGCUGACCUUCCACACCGCUAUGAUCGAAUCCAUGCUCACAUCCUGCGUCACGGUCUGGUUUGUUGCUGCCACAACUCUACAGUACCUGGCAAUAAAGCUCUUCUGAUUCUAUAGCGUUGCCAUAAGUACAGCAGGUUGACGCCUUUGAAACCUUUAAAUAUACGCACUCAUUAUUAAAACAAGCACAUGUUCAUUACAACGUGUCCCUGAGGAUCGUCUGACAGGUGCGUGGCCCUCAGCUGGCUGAGCACGCCUCUGUGCUAACGUCCCACCUGGCGAGCUCGGUUGGGAUCCGACCGCCUCGUUUGCUGCGAAGCGAUGCUUUUGACAUUUAUAGCUCGCAGCGCAUCCAUCCCUGACGCACGUCUUGUUUGCUCUUUGUUUUAUUGAGCGCCGUGAGUCAGUCUUUCCCCUCUACUGUCCGGCCGGGCCCGACUUUGUUGCCACGGCGACAUAUCCUCCAGACAGCAGCGGGAUCGAUGGAGUGGUCGAUGUGACCUGACGGCGGCGCGGCGAGCGGCACAGUCACUGCUGCGAUUCCUCCUCCUUCAGAUUUGAUGACGUUUAGCAGAACGCUUCACCCGUUUCAUCACUUUAUAGAAGAACUUCAUAAUAUCACCAACGCAUAUCUGCAAGUCUAAUAUUGUAAUAUAGCUGUUAAAUUAUGAAACUAAACAGCACCACUAUGACACAAAGUACAAGGGUUCUAUAUUUAUACGUAUAUAUUAUGAAAUAUUGUGCUUUUUCUUUCUGUAAUUACGCUGAUCCGCCCAAUUUUACUUCCACCCAAACCUUCUUCUUCUCAGCUAUGAAGUAUUUUUGGAGAAGCACUUUUAAACAGCCGGACACAAAGCAGUUUUCUGGCUGAAGAACAGAGGUUCGAGCUGACAAAGGGGGCUGUGGCCUUUGUUUGGUUAUCAUCUGUACGCUUAAUGAGGAUACCACACACACGGCAGUAUUUUAACAGGCUGUUUUAAGGCCUAAUGAAGGGAGAGCCGGGUCGGGCCGGGCCGUAAUGAGGCGAGCUGCUCAGGGACGCUGCCUUCGAUCGCCCAUUAAUCAGCACAUUCCUCUCAGCUUCUCACACUUUCUAUUUUGUCCCUAUCUAUUGCUGUCUCUCUCAUUUUCUCUCCCCUGUAAUUACGCAGCAGAUUCUGCCCACAGGCAGCUGAGCGCCGGCGCGCGCACACACGCACGCUAGCACGCGCGCCAGCACUUUCCCCUCAUCCUGUCAAGGUGCAUCAGGAAGAGGCCCUAUUUCCUCGUCGCUCUGUGAGCGACAGAACAGGGCAGAGGCGGCCAUUAGCGCAACAGCUUGGGAAUAAGUGUGUCUCCACAAAGCCCAGGGUGUCGGUGUUUGAGCUUCCCUCUCACUCUAAUCUCGCUGACGACUAAUAAGUGGCACCUUGCUGCACAGAUGAAGUGUUUCCAGCCUUGGGUUUGUGGCCGUUGCAGAGUGAGUGACUGCAUUAGAGCGUUCCACCAAAUGUUAUGACCGUCUAGAAGCGGUUCUGAACCUAAACUUUAAGCAAGAUGUAGAAAAACUGAAAUGAGGUGUAAAACAUGGUGUCCAAUAAUGCAUUUAUGAGCCUUUCUGCUAGAAAGAAGGUUGUGAGGCUAUAAAUGAUGCAUGUGUCCUUUGGGCCAGUCGAUAACAAGAUGCAUCCUUGGGCCAACUUUCAUCAGAACAGGAGCAGCCGACCUCUAAAGAUCGAUGCUUUGGUUUUUACAUACCUGAAGUAAACCCUCCUUUUAUGUGAAAGAGGUAAAACGAGUUUACAAGAAAACAACCUGGGUGAAAAAAAAAAAAAACAGAAACAGAAAAGUCAAGAUUCCAAAUUAAGAUUUGUGAAAAUAUGGAUCGUGUCAUUUCUUUUUGUUUGCCCCAAAUCUGAAUAGAACCUGCUUGUUUCUGUUUGUGAUCACUUCCAGGUACCGUGCAACACUUUGUUUUUCCCGGACUCAUGAACUGAAGCCUUCUGUACAUUUCUAAAACGACGUCUACAUCAAACAUACAUGAAUCACGUCCACAUCAAGACUGAUGCCGCACACUGAGGAGCGGCGCCUGGAGCACAAAUCAAUGGAACACGGAGCCGUUAACAGACAGAUGAUGACGUAUGGUCUCCUGCUCCCUCAUCUGACUGAUGUGCGACAUAAAAUUUGGAGUUUAUACAUCAUCGGCCCAUAAACCUGUCGCUCCUGCUUCUACACAACUGUUGAGCACCAACUCAUAAUUAGAGCAGACAUCAAAUCAAUAUCCCUCAACUCAGUGACCUGGUGGGUCACUGAUACUGAGACAUGCACAUUUUUUGUUUAAGACCAAGAGUCUUUGUUAGUUUGCAUGCACUUACUGGGAGUGUAAAUCACAUCUAAUGACCCUGCUCAUUUAUAAAAUACAACUUAAUCCAGCUUUAGUGGCCUGUCAUCAAGUAACUAAUCAUGGCACAUUAGGAGCAGAGCUGAAAACACAACAAUUAUAUCUCCAUUUGUCAUUGUCCUAAUGGUUCCGAAGCAUCCGUGGUCAGCGUUUACCGGGGCUUCGACAGGUGUGACAGUUGGUAUCGAUUCAUCCUCAGAGUCCGCUGAGCAGCCAAUAGGCGACGGGGGAGCUCAGAAACACCCUCCAGACUGACUGCUGGGAAGCAGGUGGGCGUCAGCUGCCCUCGUACAUCACAGCCCUAACAGCCUCUUCUGCAGACAGUGAGGAAGGGGAGGAGGGCUGGAGGCGAGAGCCGGGGGGAAAAAAAGAGAGACCGAAAGAGCGAGAACGAGAAAAGCAGAACCCGGGGGGAAACAGAGACGCCUGAAAAACAGAUCAAACCCAGAGGAAGGUGAUGUAAGAAGGAAAAGACGUCUGCGAGUGAAACAAAGGAGUCAGCUGCUGGAGUGGCGCGCGAACAGCUGGUGCCAAACACAGAGUCGAGGACAAAGUGGGUUCUGUUUGGACUGGAGCGCGGCCAGAGCCGAGCCGGGUCUGCAGCACCAGCAGAGGCCUGUGGGAAGAUCGUUAUAUAACCGAGAGGGGAGACCUACCAGAGAUGCUCUUGACUCCCUAAUGAUACGGCUCGGUUUAAACCCAUGUCAAAGGAAAAGGCAGGGAGACGUUGAAAAGAAAGAAAGGCGUCUAUAAAAAGACGAGGGGAGGAAGAAUGCAGCCUAUUGUUUAUCCAUUACGCGCUGCUGCAGAAGCCUCCUCUCCCACUUCAGAGGAAACCACAUUCAUAUUGAUUCAUAUGAAUACAUAAUCACACUUUAUGGAAAGUCUGCCUUUUUCUGUGCAGGUGAUGGUGUUGGGAUGGAACGAAAUGCAAAAAUCCAUCCAGUUUGAUUCACUUCCUCCGUUUUCAGCAGUCAACCUUAAAUAAACGUGUUUUAUUUUGAAAAUAAAUAGUUUCGCUUUCGCUUUA